UACGUUAGCGGCGGACGGGUGAGUAACACGUGGGUAACCUACCUAUAAGACUGGGAUAACUUCGGGAAACCGGAGCUAAUACCGGAUAAUAUUUCGAACCGCAUGGUUCGAUAGUGAAAGAUGGUUUUGCUAUCACUUAUAGAUGGACCCGCGCCUAUUAGCUAGUUGGUAAGGUAACGGCUUACCAAGGCGACGAUACGUAGCCGACCUGAGAGGGUGAUCGGCCACACUGGAACUGAGACACGGUCCAGACUCCUACGGGAGGCAGCAGCU
rnacentral:rRNA from 1 species